rnacentral:rRNA from 1 species
CCUACGGGGUGCAGCAGUGGGGAAUAUUGCACAAUGGGCGAAAGCCUGAUGCAGCAACGCCGCGUGAAGGAAGACGGUUUUCGGAUUGUAAACUUCUGUUCUUAGUGAAGAAUAAUGACGGUAACUAAGGAGCAAGCCACGGCUAACUACGUGCCAGCAGCCGCGGUAAUACGUAGGUGGCAAGCGUUGUCCGGAUUUACUGGGUGUAAAGGGCGUGUAGGCGGGGAAGCAAGUCAGAUGUGAAAACCACGGGCUCAACCUGUGGCCUGCAUUUGAAACUGUUUUUCUUGAGUACUGGAGAGGCAGACGGAAUUCCUAGUGUAGCGGUGAAAUGCGUAGAUAUUAGGAGGAACACCAGUGGCGAAGGCGGUCUGCUGGACAGCAACUGACGCUGAGGCGCGAAAGCGUGGGGAGCAAACAGGAUUAGAUACCCGAGUAGUC